rnacentral:lncRNA from 1 species
AAACUAGAUAUUUUUUCUCUUUAAAACAGUAGAGUUUUUAUUAUUUAAAACAGUAGAGUGUGGAAUAUGGAUUCCCAUUUUUAAAAAUUUGGAAUAGUAUGAAAUGAAAAUUCUAUGAAAACGAUACAUGAAAAUAAACUUUAUUAGUUAAAAUAGUUUACAUUUAUGUAUUUGUGUCAUCAUACACAUCAAAUACUUAGUUGUCUCAUAUUGCCUCUUGUUUUUCACAGGAAAAUA